UACGGAGGAUGCAAGCGUUAUCCGGAAUGAUUGGGCGUAAAGGGUCCGCAGGUGGCAUUGAAAGUCUGCUGUUAAAGAGUCUGGCUUAACCAGAUAAAGGCAGUGGAAACUACAAAGCUAGAGUGCGUUCGGGGUAGAGGGAAUUCCUGGUGUAGCGGUGAAAUGCGUAGAGAUCAGGAAGAACACCGGUGGCGAAGGCGCUCUACUAGGCCGCAACUGACGCUGAGGGACGAAAGCUAGGGGAG
rnacentral:rRNA from 1 species